rnacentral:rRNA from 1 species
UACGGAGGGUGCGAGCGUUGUCCGGAAUCACUGGGCGUAAAGGGCGCGUAGGCGGCCUGAUAAGUAGGGGGUGAAAUCCUGCGGCUUAACCGCAGGGCUGCCUUCUAAACUGUCAGGCUGGAGCACAGUAGAGGCAGGUGGAAUUCCCGGUGUAGCGGUGGAAUGCGUAGAGAUCGGGAAGAACAUCAGUGGCGAAGGCGGCCUGCUGUGCUGUUGCUGACGCUGAGGCGCGACAGCGUGGGGAGCAAACAGG